rnacentral:tRNA from 1 species
CUCUUGUAGUUUACUUAAAACACUGCCCUUUCACCGCAAAGAAGAAUAAU